GACGAACGCUGGCGGCGUGCCUAAUACAUGCAAGUCGAACGAGCGGCGGACGGGUGAGUAAUGUCUGGGAAACUGCCUGAUGGAGGGGGAUAACUACUGGAAACGGUAGCUAAUACCGCAUACCAUCAGAUGUGCCCAGUGGGGAUGAGCUAGUAGGUGGGGUAACGGCCCACCUAGGCGACGAUCCCUAGCUGGUCUGAGAGGAGGCACAGCCACACUUGAACUGAGACACGGUCCAGACUCCUACGGGAGGCAGCAGGGGGGAAUAUUGCACAAUGGGCGCAAGCCUGAUGCAGCCAUGCCGCGUGUGUGAAGAAGGCCUUCGGGUUGUAAAGCACUUUAAGUUGGGAGGCGUUACCAACAGAAUAAGCACCGGCUAACUUCGUGCCAGCAGCCGCGGUAAUUC
rnacentral:rRNA from 1 species